GACAGAGGAUGCAAGCGUUAUCCGGAAUGAUUGGGCGUAAAGCGUCUGUAGGUGGCUUUUUAAGUCCGCCGUCAAAUCCCAGGGCUCAACCCUGGACAGGCGGUGGAAACUACCAAGCUGGAGUACGGUAGGGGCAGAGGGAAUUUCCGGUGGAGCGGUGAAAUUCGUAGAUAUCGACAGGAACACCUGCGGCGAAAGCGGCCUUCUGGACGAACACUGACGCUGAGACACGAAAGCGUGGGGAGCAAAC
rnacentral:rRNA from 1 species